rnacentral:lncRNA from 1 species
AGUAAAACAAAAUAAAAUAUUGCAAAUAAAAUGUAUAUUUCCUUUCAGUAGCAUAUCACAUCAAAUACAAUACAUCAUCCACCAACUCCAUGCAUUAAGGUUCAACUUCUAACAAGGGCACAUCAAAAUAAUUUUACAUGUGCACAACAGAAUACUUCUACAAGUGCAAGCGCACGAAAAAAGGACCCAACAAGUGCACAAUCGCACAUAAAGAGAGUUCCAUGAAGAUUGGAUGAGAACCACAAGUUUCUUCUCAUCCUCUUCCUCUGCACAAUAUGCUCUUGCCAUUACCGC